UACGGGGGGGGCAAGCGUUGUUCGGAAUUACUGGGCGUAAAGGGUGCGUAGGCGGCGCGGUAAGUCGGGUGUGAAAUCUUGGAGCUUAACUCCGAAACUGCAUUCGAUACUGCCGUGCUUGAGGACUGGAGAGGAGACUGGAAUUUACGGUGUAGCGGUGAAAUGCGUAGAUAUCGUAAGGAAGACCAGUGGCGAAGGCGGGUCUCUGGACAGUUCCUGACGCUGAGGCACGAAGGCCAGGGGAGCAAACGGG
rnacentral:rRNA from 1 species